rnacentral:tmRNA from 1 species
GGGGCUGAACUAGGCUCGACGAGGAGAUCCGUGGUCGGCGUUAGCAAGCGGAGUUGCGAGCUCUCCUAAAACGAUCGCACGGCAAUACCUGCCAACAACGAAUACGCACUGGCUGCCUAAUUUAGGCUAGUCACCGGACGCAGAGAGUCGGCCCGAACCGCUCUGCCUUCCGGCCAAAAAUUCGGGCUGGUACGACGGCGUGGUUUGACCGGCGUACGAGACUAAGAACCUGCUGCGUACGGUAAGUCCCGCUUUGAGACGUCCGUCCGAGUAAGUCAAAGUCAAAGCUGAGCUUGGAGAAUGCGCCGGUUAGGCUUUUCGGACUCGGGGGGCAGUACCCCGACAGCUCCACCA